rnacentral:rRNA from 1 species
UCUCCGCUUUGUCGGUGGAUCUUUGCGGGGUUUUCAUCUUUCCUACGGCCAUAGCAACUCGUGAACGUUAACAAAUUGUUUUCUCGGCGGGGGCACGCCCCGGGUGCCUCGCAGCCCCGGAAACAUUCCCCCCCCGGAGGAGGCAACCAAACUCUCUUUUGUAUUUCCCUCGCGGCCCCUUUUUUUUUCAGCUUUGACCAAAACGUUAUAACGGAUCGAAACUAUCGACGAAAGAUCUCUUUGGUCAGGGCAUCGAUGACGGAAGCAGGGAGGGGGCCAAUAAUCCGUCAAAAGCAGAAUUCAGUGAAUCCCUGAGAUCUUUCAAUUCGCCCAUUUUUUUUCGCCAGUAUUCUGGCGGGCUCAUCUCUGCCCGAGCGUCAUUUCAACCCUCGAACCCCUCCGGGGGAUCGGCGUUGGGGAUCGGGACCCCUCACACGGGCGCCGGCCCCUAAAUACAGUGGCGGUCUCGCCGCAGCCUCUCCUGCGCAGUAGUUUGCACAACUCGCACCGGGAGCGCGGCGCGUCCACGUCCGUAAAACACCCAACUUUCUGAAAUGUUGAGCCUCGGAUCAGGUAGGAAUACCCGCUG